rnacentral:rRNA from 1 species
UACAGAGGGUGCAAGCGUUGUUCGGAAUUAUUGGGCGUAAAGGGCGCGUAGGCGGUGCCACAAGUCACCUGUGAAAUCUCCGGGCUUAACUCGGAGCGGUCAAGUGAUACUGUCGCGCUAGAGUGCGGAAGGGGCAAUCAGAAUUCUUGGUGUAGCGGUGAAAUGCGUAGAUAUCAAGAGGAAUACCUGAGGUGAAGACGGGUUGCUAGGCCGACACUGACGUGAAGCGCGAAAGCCAGGGGGAGCAAACGGGG